GAUGAACGCUGGCGGCGUGCCUAACACAUGCAAGUCGAACGAGCGAGAGAUGAAACCUAGUGAUUCUCGAGCGAGUGGCGGACGGGUGAGUAACGCGUGGGUAACCUGCCUUACAGAGGGGGAUAACAGUUUGAAAAGACUGCUAAUACCGCAUAAGCACACAGUACCGCAUGGUACAGGGUGAAAAGAUUUAUCACUGUAAGAUGGACCCGCGUCUGAUUAGCCAGUUGGCAGGGUAACGGCCUACCAAAGCGACGAUCAGUAGCCGACCUGAGAGGGUGAUCGGCCACAUUGGGACUGAGACACGGCCCAAACUCCUACGGGAGGCAGCAGUGGGGGAUAUUGCACAAUGGAGGAAACUCUGAUGCAGCGCACGCCGCGUGAGUGAAGAAGUAUUUCGGUAUGUAAAGCUCUCAUCACGCA
rnacentral:rRNA from 1 species